rnacentral:lncRNA from 1 species
GUGCUUGUCUAGUUUUGUGGCCUUUGUUACUUGAGUAAGUAAGCCCGAGGGGAUUGUCUUUACACCUAGCGCCCUAAGGUCUUAAUGGUCUAGGAGUCGUUGGUCGAAAGCUCGUUAAGGUAGCAUUGAAAAGCCUAAGGGAAUAAGACAUCGCAUAGCUAUGUGUAUAUAAACCAAAAUAAAGCCCCUGUAGAUGAAAAUAAAGCAUAAGUAUCCCAUGUUGACCCUCAAUAUUGGUAAUUGUUUAAGUUUAGUUGAAUUUAUCUUAUUUUUGGAUUUCUUGACUUUACAUUGUAUGAUGCCUUCGAAGAGACUUGUUAUGUGUUAAAUUUGAUUUUAUAUUAGUUAACAUUGUUGUGGAGCACACACACACUAUACCAGUAAUAACAGUUUAAGACUUGAUGACUGACUAGGAAAUUGUUGAUUGGUUUUGAUAUGAUGUAUUAUCAUGUUUACUUGAUUUCUCUAUGGCCGGUUGAAUAGACUUGUUUCUGUCUUUACUACUGGAUUCGUAGGCAUAUAGAUUAGUUACAUUUCAUUUCAUUGCAUUGCAUUGCAUUAUGUUGUGUUGCUUGGGGACAAGCAACGGUUUAAGUUUGGGAGUAUUUGAUAAGUGGAUUUUAUAUACACUUAUCCGGUAUCUUUUACUUGAAUUAGUUGCUUAUAUUCAUGUGUCU